GGGAAGGUGGCUCAGUGGUAGAGCACUUGCCUUGCAUGCAUGAGGCCCUGGGUUCGAUUCCUCAGCGCCCCG
rfam:Dipodomys ordii contig_23943, whole genome shotgun sequence.